AGUCAAGGGGUAGCAAUACCACUGGCGCACGGGUGAGUAACACGUAGGUUAUCUGCCCCCAUCACAGACAUAACCUCGGGAAACCGAGGCUAAUAUCUGAUGAGGUCGUGAGAUCAAAGCUUCGGCGGAUGGGGAUGAGCCUGCGGCUGAUUAGCUAGUUGGUGAGGUAAUGGCUCACCAAGGCGACGAUCAGUAGCUGGUCUGAGAGGACGAACAGCCACACUGGAACUGAGACACGGUCCAGACUCCUACGGGAGGCAGCAGUGAGGAAUAUUGGUCAAUGGGAGCAAUCCUGAACCAGCAAUGCCGCGUGUGGGAUGAAGGCGCUUCGCGUCGUAAACCACUGUCGGACGGGACGAAAGGAGCUAUGAAGCUCUAGGACGGUACCGUCAAAGGAAGGAUCGGCUAACUACGUGCCAGCAGCCGCGGUAAUACGUAGGAUCCAAGCGUUGUCCGGAUUUACUGGGUAUAAAGGGUGCGUAGGCGGCCUUGUGCGUCAGAGGUGAAAUCUCCGGGCUUAACCCGGAGGGUGCCUUUGAUACGGCAGGGCUUGAGUGCGAGAGAGGAUGAUGGAAUUCCUGGUGUAGCGGUGAAAUGCGUAGAUAUCAGGAGGAACACCGGUGGCGAAGGCGGUCAUCUGGCUCGAAACUGACGCUGAGGCACGAAAGCGUGGGGAUCAAACAGGAUUAGAUACCCUGGUAGUCCACGCCCUAAACGAUGUAUGCUUGGUGUUGGGGUCGCAAGAUCUCAGUGCCGUAGAAAUCUGAUAAGCAUACCACCUGGGGAGUACGAUCGCAAGGUUGAAACUCAAAUGAAUUGACGG
rnacentral:rRNA from 1 species